UGUCGUCGCCGGGAGCGGGGGCUUAGGCCAGAAACGGCAUCAGAGGAGGGUCCGGGGUGGUCUUUGUCUUCAGUUACUCCAUAUUCUUCCACAGUCAGGCCGUCCUGAAGCAGAGGUGUUACGUGGGGUUUGUACAAGGUUAAUACGGGUGCAUCCCUGCUGAAGGCCUUUAGUAAAAAUGAAACGGCAGAAUUUAUUGCUCACUCUUGCCAUCGGUGUGUAUAGCUUCUUGGUCCUGCAAAUACAAAUUCCUUCUGCCUGCUACCAACGUUUUUACAGCUUGUAAGGUUGCCAGAUCCUGCAAACAGAAUCCGUUCGUACUUGGUGAUACAAAAGGGAGAUUGUCCUUCCAUUUCACUACAGUUUUCUUUAAAAUCCUCAUUCUAUUUUCAGUGGUAAAACUGGAAAUGAAAAGUCUGUUCAUGCUUCAUCAUAAUGAAGCUCACUGAUGCUGAAUGAGAACCCCAGAGACGGUGUGACUGGCUCAGGAAGCCCAGAACAGCCAGUGCCUGGAGCUGGGAGAGUGUCCAGGGAAAUGCUCUGAAGAGCCAUGAUAGGAUUUCCCCAUUCUCACAGACUUCCCUUGGCAUCUUUUACCAGCCAUGUCAGAGACUGGUUCCUGAAUGAAAACAUUUGGCCAGAUUGAGAAGGCUGUUCUUAGGAUCAAGAUGUUUGUGCAGAUUACUAAACUAGUACUCUCGCUUUCAAUGGAUGCCUUUCCUCCCUUUUCACUGGACUUAGCAGCUCCAUAACAACAUGUUACCACUGUGCCAGUCCGUAGUUACAAAUCUACACUGGAUAUCAAAAUGUUGGCACUCUAGGUUCCUAGUCUCUGUGCUCUGUGAGGGGAAAAAACCAGAAUGCUAAAAAGAAAAAAAAAGGAAGAGGAAUGUCCAGAAAGAAGAAGUACCAGCACAGUCCAACUACACCGCAGUACUAGAAAACCACUGUACUUCCAACUAUAGCUACGAUGAAAGCACGUCUCUACUAGCACAGUAAGAAAGUAUAAAAGAUUAAGAAGCAGCUCCUUGGCACAUCUGCUUAGUGCAGCUCACUUCUUUUACAUCCCAUGGUAAUUUAUAUUGCAUCUUAAAUUAACCCAGCACUAAUGCUCUCAUUUGUUUUUUAUACAUUUCAGAUGAUAUAUCUCAGCUGUGUCCCACGGUUAUAUCCACAGAUAUAACCAUAUACACCACUCUGGAGAUGUAUCUCAUGCCAGUAAACAGAGUUGCUUGAUCAAUUGCUGAGAAUUUCUCCUCAAACAAUGUAAGCUUUACUGACAAGCGGAUUCUUCCGUCAUUAUAAAUUGCCUCUCUGCAUGGCUGUAAAGCCGGACUGUGUUUUUUUCCCCACUUUAGAACAGUACUGCUUUGCCAACAUCACUUUAGUGUAGGUUUGUUCUUCAUGCAGGGGAGAGAGGUAAGCCACUGGCAACAGAAGCUUUAUGAACUGUGCUGUGCUAGCCAGCAGGCAGGCUGCAAAUCUGGGUCUUUAGCAUCUGAGUUAGUAAAAGAGAGAGCUCUACUCUGCUUCAUAAAAUAUAUAUGCUAAUCUCCCAGAUGGCUGUAUCUUCUUUCUCCAUAGAACAGAUGACCUGGAAAAUAAAAGAAGACUGAAAACACUGGAGAGUGGAAAAUCUGGGCCAAAAUCUGGGAGCUUCCAGUAGAUUUUACAGACAGACUUGGCUUUUAAAUUUAGUUUGAAUUUGUUUUGAUAAUAAAAUAUAGCAAUGAUUACAUGACUAUUAUUACAGGUCACAGUGUAAUUUCACAUGUAACGCAAAGCAUUCAUACAUUUAUCAGCAUCCCUAUAAGAAAAAUAAAACAAAGGAUGACUUUCAAACGAGAU